GAAAGAUCUCCCAUGCUCAUGGAUUGGCAGGAUUAAUAUAGUAAAAAUGGCCAUUUUACCAAAAGCAAUCUACAGAUUCAAUGCAAUCCCCAUCAAAAUACCAAUCCAAUUCUUCAAAGAGUUAGACAGAACAAUUUGCAAAUUCAUCUGGAAUAACAAAAAACCCAGGAUAGCUAAAGCUAUCCUCAACAAUAAAAGGACUUCAGGGGGAAUCACUAUCCCUGAACUCAAGCAGUAUUACAGAGCAAUAGUGAUAAAAACUGCAUGGUAUUGGUACAGAGACAGACAGAUAGACCAAUGGAAUAGAAUUGAAGACCCAGAAAUG
rnacentral:lncRNA from 1 species